GGCAUCUCUUGUCUUCUUCCAGAAACCAUGACACUAUGGCAGGCCAACUUACUAGCUUUCAAGUAAGGUAACAUCUCAGACCAUCAUAGGUUUUGACAGGGGAAACUCUGAAGGACCACAGGAGUUGGAGGUUCCACGUAUCUCUAAGUAGUAACAUACGAUGGGUCCAAAACAGAAGAAAGAGAACUCAAGAUUCCCGAGCCACAGAGCUGUUGAUUGGAGGCUGACUCAGAGAAACCCUGGAUUCAGUGACAUACAGAGACAACAGGGACUUAAUCGCCUUCUGGACAAACAUAAUCUAUGCGACCUCCUCCCCAUAAGGUGCCAUAAGCAAAGUGAGCGGUUUGGAGAGAACACUGUACAUGACUUCCUGACUACAAUGGCCUGUGGCUGAUGAAGUACAGCACUUUGGUGGAAACAGGUACAGGAUCAGUAUGGGUUUUAAUUGAGGGGCUCGGCACCAAAUGACAGACUUGACACAUCCACCCCCACCAUGGAUGCUGUCCGUCCACUGUUGCACAAUGUCCUUCAGUGUCUAAUUUACAGAUCCAGCUGUAUUUCCCCUUCCACCUGCAUCCCUGAAGUUCCUCCCACCUGAAAACUUCACCUGACCCAAGAAAGCAAAGGAAAAAACCCGGAGAGCCAGCUCAUAGUCUGGUUCACUGUUUAACAGCCAGAAGCCAGAGCCUGCGUACUAGAAGUGGAUGCCCAGGAAGUACUUGUGAGCUGACUAAGAAUGUAAGAACGCCACCCACUUCAUUCAGGAAAGUGAGGCAGGAUUCCAUGGAGUAUGAAUGACUGCACAUGGAACAAGCAGGUUAUCAUUUAUAUUCAGCAAGGGACCUCCAUGAACAGGACAUUUGGGGAGCUGCUAUCAAACAUCAGAACUUCUGACACUGUGCACACAGUCUUAUAUUGUGCCUUGUCUGUUGUGAUGUCUCACUACAGUAAUGAUUAAGAUGAUGAGCACUUAUGCGUUGAUAUUGCAAUAUGUCUGCGUAAGAACUAUCGCUAAGGCAGGUUAUAUUAUUACCCUCAGUGUAUAGGUAAGGAGGUUAGACUGAUAACUUACCCAGUGUCACAUAGGUAGUAAUGGCCAAACUAGAGUUGGAACCUGUCUGCCUACUCUCCAAGCUCAGGAUUGACUUGAGCACAAGGGUAAGUAUCUCACAUGCUUUGUAAAGUUCAGGUUGAUAACAAAAUAUGUGAAAGGCAGGGGUAUAGACAACAGGGGGCAUAUGAAAUACGGGAAGGGCCUAAAGAAAUUCAAGUCUAUUAUUUUUAAUCCACUGCUGUCAAAUGACAAAUGAUUACUGGCUUUUCUUCAGCUUAUGAUUCCUGUAUUUGAAUCCUGAAAAACUUACAUUUCAUAUAUUACCAACUAUUAUGGGGAAAACUAUCACAUGGGAAUAAAACUCCAGUGCCCUAAGGAUUUGUUUAACGCUAGAUAAAUCUUAUGAGUUUGCAAACUAUAAUUUUUAAAAAGAAUUCAGUCUUUUUCUUUUCCCAAAUAUAAGUUCCCAAUCUUCCAUUCCAGACAUGCAGCAAUUGAAUUCGAGUCAUCUGUGUUUCAUUUUUUAUAGUGCAAUACUCUCUACCUGCAAGUGCAAAUAAUUUUUCCAAUAACAUAUUCUUCUCUUCCACUUCAGAAAUAUGAUUCUUUCUCUGUUGGACUUGGGGCUGGGGGAGGGAGUCUUCAUCUCCUGCAACUCUGCUUUUAGAAAAUAAUGUCAUUCUACACAUAAGUCACAGGCAGGCAGGAAAAUGAUGGGAAGAAAUGACUUGUCAGGUGUGGAUUUCUUCAAAGCAUGAACUGCUUAGAAAUCAGUGGUGGCAAAUAAGCCUGUAAAAGACAGGAAAACACUCCACACCAUCGAAUUCUAUCUGUAAGUUCCAAAUGUUCAUGGCCCUAUUGCUGAACAAAACUCUGACUGCUGAUCACCUUCAGAGUAAAAGCUGGAAAACAAAUUCAUCUUCAACCAAAAUCAAAAAUUUCUCUUGUCAAGAAAACAGUGAGCUGAGGAAAAUUUUUUAAAAUAUAAAUCCAUUUCAUUUUGGUAAGAUGGAAGAGACAUACUUGUCUCUACUUUUCUUGCUAAAUGCAACUAAAAUCCCUGGAUAUUACAUGUAAAACAAUCAUAAUAAGACUGAGAAUUAGACAAAAGGCAAACCAGUUAGGGCAUCAGGACCCAAGGGAUGACAUGGUAGCGAGUAUCUUGGGCUUUCUUUGCUUUUCGUUUCAUUCCAGAUUUGGAACUGAAGAAGCUAAAAACUCAGACACACCAAUGCAUGGGAAUUUUAAAAAUUCUCAACAGAAGCCAGCUCUCUCUAGUUAAAGGACAAGUAAAGGGGCAUCCUAACAAGACAGAAUACUUCUAUUUCUUUCUUUUUUUUUUUUUUUUUUUUUUUGAGACAGAGUGUCGCUCUGUCACUCAGGCUGGAGUGCAGUGGCUUGAACUCGGCUCACUGCAAGCUCCACCUCCCGGGUUCAUGCCAUUCUCCUGCCUCAGCCUCCCAAGUAACUGGGACUACUGGCGCCCACCACCACACCCAGCUAAUUUUUUGUAUUUUUAGUAGAGACAGGGUUUCACCGUGUUAGCCAGGAUGGUCUCGAUCUCUUGACCUCAUGAUCCGCCUGCCUCAGCCUCCCGAAGUGCUGGGAUCACAGGCAUGAGCCACUGUGCCUGGCCACGACAGAAUACUUUUAAACAAUAACCACUCUUUUCUAGCCAAACAGAAUAGAUAAAAUGGUGGACUUGGCUUCGCUCACAAAGGCUGAGUAAGGAGCCCUGAAUUCUACCCUUACUGGGCUACAAUAAGGCAUCCAUCCCUCAACUAAGGUGGUUUCAGAGAGUGCUGACGAGGGAGACAGGCGUUUGAUUUCCUCUAAACAGUAAUGAGCUUCCUCUCCUAAUGAUAUAGUUGGAGACCACGUGGAAGCAGGUACUUGUACCCGUCCAGCCAGCACACUAUCUGCAGGGACCUAGAGGGAAGCUAGAACUCCCUCCCUAUCCAGCAAUGAUUAGGAGACAGCCUCCAAGGGUAAAUAAACCCAAUAAAUAAACCCAAGGACGGAAACUGGACUUCUGUAGCAACCUGGAAGUGAUGAACUCCAACUCCCUUUCCACCAGAGUGCUGUUGCAGAACGCCAAAACAGACAGCUUAAAUAAGAUAGACUGUUGCAUAAAAUAAUAUCUGAAAUGUUCAGUUUUCAACUGAAAAACACUCAGCCCAUUCUACCAAGAACCAGAAAGUUCUCAAACUGAAGGAAAAAAGAUAAUCAGUUGACAUCUAUACCAAGAAGGCAAAGAUGUUAAAAUUAUGUGGCAAAGAUUUUAAAAAAUAAUAAAAGAUAAAAGCAGCCAUCACAAAAAUGUUUCAACAAGCAAUUACUAAUAUGCUUGAGACAAAUGAAAAAAUAAAAAGGCUCAGCAAAGAAACAAACUCUCAGUAGAAGACAUAAAGAAGACCCCAGUGAAAAUCUUAGCACUAAAAAAUUUGAUGACAAAAAUAAUUUUUAAAAGCCUUCACUGGUGCAUUCAGCAGCAGAAUUGAGGAAAGAGGAAAGAAUCAGUGGAACUUAAUAUAAAACAAUAGAAACUGCACAAUCUGAAAAACCAGCAAGAAAACAGACUGAAAAAAUAAACAGAGCCUCAGAGACCAGUCAGACAAAAGAUCUAGUAUUUGUGUCAUGGAAGUCCAGGAAGAAUGGAAAGACAGUAAGGAUGAAAAAGUACUCAAAAAUUGACAGAAAGCAUGUCAAUUACAGGAGAAUUCUACCAAAUAUUAAAAAUAUAAUACAAAUUAUAUACAAUCUCUUCCAGAAAAUAGAUAAGGAAGGAACGUUGCUAAAUUUAAUUAAUUUUAUGAAGCCCCAUCAUCCUGAUAUCAAAAUAAUAGAGACAAGGACAAAAAAAAGUAUAAA
rnacentral:lncRNA from 10 species